rnacentral:rRNA from 1 species
AUGGACACACGAAAGUAUUUCUGUCUCUUUUAUAUCAAUAAAAAUUGAAUUAUAGGUGAAGAUGCCUAUAUAUUUUUAAAGGACAAAAAGACCCUAUUGAGCUUUAUUUCUUAUUAAUUAAAAAAGAAAUACCACAAAUUUUUAUUAAAAGGAGAUUCUGUUGGGGCGACAAAGGAACACAAAAAACUUCCAAAAAAAAAAAGAAAACACUUCUAUUCAAUGAUCCUUAAUAGCUAAAGAAACCAGCUACCAUAGGGAUAACAGGCUAAUCAUUUUAAAGAGUUCAUAUUGAUAAAAUGGGUUGGCACCUCGAUGUUGGCUUAGGGUAUCCUAUAAGUGCAGAAG